rnacentral:rRNA from 1 species
CCUACGGGAGGCAGCAGUGAGGAAUAUUGGUCAAUGGGCGCAAGCCUGAACCAGCCAAGUCGCGUGAGGGAUGAAGGCCCUACGGAUUGUAAACUUCUUUUAUAAGGGAAUAAAGUGCGGGACGUGUCCCGUUUUGUAUGUACCUUAUGAAUAAGGAUCGGCUAACUCCGUGCCAGCAGCCGCGGUAAUACGGAGGAUCCGAGCGUUAUCCGGAUUUAUUGGGUUUAAAGGGAGCGUAGACGGGUUUUUAAGUCAGCUGUGAAAGUUUGUGGCUCAACCGUAAAAUUGCAAUUGAUACUGGCAGGCUUGAGUAUAUGUGAGGCAGGCGGAAUUCGUGGUGUAGCGGUGAAAUGCUUAGAUAUCACGCAGAACCCCGAUUGCGAAGGCAGCCUGCCAAGCCGUGACUGACGCUGAUGCACGAAAGCGUGGGGAUCAAACAGGAUUAGAUACCCGAGUAGUC